GGAGAGGUCGCGUAGCCCGGUUUAGCGCGCCUGUUUGGAGAACAGGUAGACCCGUAAGGGUCUCCAGGGUUCGAAUCCCUGCCUCUCCG
rnacentral:tRNA from 1 species